rnacentral:tRNA from 1 species
GCCCCCUUCGUCUAGAGGCCCAGGAUACGUGGUUCUCAGCCAUGGGACAGGGGUUCGACUCCCCUAGGGGGUA